CAACACUCAACGGAUGGCGACCUGGCCAGGCAUUCCAACUGUCCACACCCUCCGGGGAAGAAGAAAAAGGACAAUUGGUAUCCCUGUCGAGGUCUCAAUCUAGAGAGUGCCAUUUUA
rnacentral:pre_miRNA from 16 species